GAUGAACGCUGGCGGCGUGCCUAAUACAUGCAAGUCGAGCGAACAGACGAGGAGCUUGCUCCUCUGACGUUAGCGGCGGACGGGUGAGUAACACGUGGAUAACCUACCUAUAAGACUGGGAUAACUUCGGGGAACCGGAGCUAAUACCGGAUAAUAUAUUGAACCGCAUGGUUCAAUAGUGAAAGACGGUUUUGCUGUCACUUAUAGAUGGAUCCGCGCCGCAUUAGCUAGUUGGUAAGGUAACGGCUUACCAAGGCAACGAUGCGUAGCCGACCUGAGAGGGUGAUCGGCCACACUGGAACUGAGGCACGGUCCAGACUCCUACGGGAGGCAGCAGUAGGGAAUCUUCCGCAAUGGGCGAAAGCCUGACGGAGCAACGCCGCGUGAGUGAUGAAGGUCUUCGGAUCGUAAAACUCUGUUAUUAGGGAAGAACAAAUGUGUAAGUAACUAUGCACGUCUUGACGGUACCUAAUCAGAAAGCCACGGCUAACUACGUG
rnacentral:rRNA from 1 species